AACGAUCUAAUAGAUGGAUCAUUUGUAAGACUUUGAUUCUUAUGGUCUCAGGUUCGAGUCAUGUGGUUGAUA
rnacentral:tRNA from 1 species